CAACUUUUAGCAACGGAUCUCUUGGCUCUCGCAUCGAUGAAGAACGCAGCGAAAUGCGAUAAGUAAUGUGAAUUGCAGAAUUCAGUGAAUCAUCGAAUCUUUGAACGCACCUUGCGCUCCUUGGUAUUCCGAGGAGCAUGCCUGUUUGAGUGUCAUUAA
rnacentral:rRNA from 1 species